rnacentral:rRNA from 1 species
UACGUAGGGUGCAAGCGUUGUCCGGAAUUAUUGGGCGUAAAGAGCUCGUAGGCGGUCUGUCGCGUCGGCUGUGAAAUCCCGAGGCUCAACCUCGGGUCUGCAGGUCGAUACGGGGCAAAACUAGAGUAUUGCAGGGGGAGACUGGAAAUUCCUGGUGUAGCGGUGGAAAUGCGCAGAUAUCAGGAGGAACACCGGUGGCGAAGGCGGGUCUCUGGGCAGUAACUGACUGAGGAGCGAAAAGCAUGG